rnacentral:misc_RNA from 1 species
GAUUAAGCAUAAAGGAAGAAAUGUUGUUUGGUCUAUUGCCAUGGACAAGUGCCUUAUUGAAGCUCUUGCUAUUCAGGCUAGAAAUGGAAAUAAAAUAGACAAAUGUUUUAACGAGAAUGCUUACACUGCUGCUUGUUUCGCUGUGAACUCUCACUUUAAUUUAAACUUGAACAAUCAAAAAGUUGUUAAUCGUCUUAAUACCAUCAAGAAAAGGUAUAAGGUAAUAAGGGAUAUGCUAAGUCAAGAUGGGUUCAGGUGGAAUCCCAGUACAAAGAUGAUUGAAUGUGACAGUGAAGNNUGGAAGAGAUACAUUGCUGCGCAUCCUGAUGCAAAAGGCAUUCGGGGUAAGCAGAUUGAGAUGUAUGAUGAACUAAAAAUUGUUUGUGGAAAUUACCAAGCUCCUAGUCGCUGGGCUAAGAUGAAGGAUGGAGGUCAUGUAACAAAGAAUUUUGAAGAAGAUUCUCCUUCUUUCCUCUCACCAAGUUCAGAAGAUGCGAGUGAGACUGAUGGAACAGAAUCGUAUACUGGACCACCAGAUUGCGUGCCAGAUGGUAGUCAGGACCCUCCACUGAUCCAGCCUGUUAGACAACUUCCGAAACGGGCCCGUGGAUCAGAAGCUCUUCAAGAUGCAAUGUUGGCAGUGGCAACAAGCAUUCGGCGUUUGGCUGAUGCAAUGGAGCAGAGCAAAACUGCAAUCAAUGCCUCAGAACUAUUACAGGCUGUGAUGGAGAUUGAUGGCUUAGAAGAGGCUAAACAAAUGUAUGCCUUUGAAUACCUGAAUGCUGACCCCAUUAAAGCCAGAGCCUUUAUGACGUACAAUGCACGAAUGAGGAAGAUUUAUUUGUUUCG